CCCCACGCAUCCGAAAAACUCUUUCCCUCUUUCCCCCCAAUUUUUUCCUUCCGCGCUCCACCCCACAAAAAACCCUAGUUUCCUCCCCCUCUCGAGCUCGUUCCGAAUUCCCCACCUCUCCCUCUCUCCUGGCUAAUUUACUCGUGCAAAUUGGAAUUCAGGUGAAAUCAUGGACGAUUCGGAGCAGAAUAAGCUGUUUGUCGGGGGAAUUUCGUGGGACACGACGGACGAUGUGCUCAGGGACCAUUUUGGCAAGUACGGCGUCGUUGUGGACUCCGUGAUUGCUCGGGAUCGGGAUUCCGGGCGCCCCAGGGGCUUCUCUUUCGUCACCUUUUCGGAAUCUUCCGCCGUCGACCGCGCUCUGCAGGAUUCCCAUCAAAUUCUCAGCAGAACGGUGGAAGUCAAAAGGGCCAUUCCCAGAAGCGAACAACAAAGUCAACAACAGAAUAACAGGGGAUUGAGUAGGAAUAAUAGUAGGGCUAACAGUAGGAGCAACGAGCAGUUUAGGACAAAGAAGAUUUUUGUAGGGGGUUUAUCGGCUAACUUGAGUGAAGAAGAAUUCAGAGGUUACUUUGAGAACUUUGGUAGGAUUACUGAUGUAGUUGUGAUGCAUGAUAAUCUGACUCAUAGGCCGAGGGGAUUUGGUUUUAUUACCUUUGACUCAGAGGAUUCUGUAGAGGAAGUUAUGCAGAAGAAUUUCCAUGAAUUGACUGGAAAGCUUGUUGAGGUUAAAAGAGCGGUGCCAAAGGAUGGACUUGGUAGUUGUAGCGUUGGUUAUAAUGGAAGAUUAGGUGGCGGAAGAAGCCAUACUAGCUUCAAUUUUUAUCAGCAGGGGAGUUACACACCUUAUAGUUCUAGAUUUGGGUAUUUCCCUGGGUAUGGUGGUAAUGUGGCUGGCUACCCAUAUGGAGCUGGGAUAUUUGGUGGUGGAUAUCCUCCUUCUGGAGGGUAUGGCGGAAUUAGUUACAGUCUCACUCCAAUUGCCCCGAGGAGUCCUUGGAAUCCAGCGAUGGUUGGUGUCAGGGGAAGUUUCCUGCCUUAUGGAAGUUGUGCUCCUGUCUAUCCCUCCUAUGUGAAUGGCGGGCCUGGAGUGAUGGGACUGUCUAUUAACGGAUAUGGUGGGAUCUUGGGUGGAGAUGCUCAACACACGGCUGAAUCAGCACCCCCUCAGACUGGUAUAAAUAAUGUAGAUGCCAAUUCUUUUGGUUCUGGAAGAAACUUUGGAGGUGUGGCUAGCAAACAGAGUCACAGAGUUAGUGAUAUGUCUUACCAAGCUGCUAACUCAAGCUGACUGCUUGACGUCUUGAUUGUGGAUAUUGACAUGUUAGAAGUUUCUCCCACUGGCGGAGUUGGUUAUCGUUAUUCCAAUGUCCACGCGCUAGAUCUGUUUCUAAUUCUUAUAAAGAUUUGUGUUUCUGAUCUGUUUGACACAGUUUGGUUUGAUCAAGCUAGCUGAAGGUAUGCUCUGACUCGCUGUUGCUUGGAUGAUGCUUGUUAUUAGUAUGGUUCUCGUUUAUUACGUUCAGUCUUGUUUUGAAGUGGGUUUCAUAAAUGUCUUGAACUGAUUUUCGAGUCAGCUGUGUGAUAGUCUUGCUUAUGAUAAAUCUGAGUUCCUCUUUAAACUGUCAAGUGAGAGGAAUAUAUGCUACUGCACUUGGAUUCAUGUAACAUACACACUCUGCAUUCUUGUUGAGUUUAAAUCAUUUUGUCAUCA